rnacentral:rRNA from 1 species
UGGGGAAUAUUGGACAAUGGGGGGGAACCCUGAUCCAGCCAUGCCGCGUGUGUGAAGAAGGCCUUUUGGUUGUAAAGCACUUUAAGCGAGGAGGAGGCUCCCAGUAUUAAUACUACUGGAGAGUGGACGUUACUCGCAGAAUAAGCACCGGCUAACUCUGUGCCAGCAGCCGCGGUAAUACAGAGGGUGCAAGCGUUAAUCGGAUUUACUGGGCGUAAAGCGUGCGUAGGUGGCCAAUUAAGUCAAAUGUGAAAUCCCCGAGCUUAACUUGGGAAUUGCAUUCGAUACUGGUUGGCUAGAGUAUGGGAGAGGAUGGUAGAAUUCCAGGUGUAGCGGUGAAAUGCGUAGAGAUCUGGAGGAAUACCGAUGGCGAAGGCAGCCAUCUGGCCUAAUACUGAC